rnacentral:rRNA from 1 species
GGACGAACGCUGGCGGCGUAGCCUAAUACAUAGCAAGUGAACGCAUGAUUGAUACCGUAGCUUGCUACACCAUUAAUCAUGAGUCGCGAACGGGUGAGUAAACGCGUAGGUAACCUGCCUACUACGCGGGGGAGUAACUAUUGGAAACGAUAGCUAAUACCGCAUAAGAGUUUUUAACACAUGUUAGAAAUUUAAAGGAGCAAAUGCUUCACUAGUAGAUGGACCUGCGUUGUAUUAGCUAGUUGGUAAGGUAACGGCUUACCAAGGCGACGAUACAUAGCCGACCUGAGAGGGUGAUCGGCCACACUGGGACUGAGACACGGCCCAGACUCCUACGGGAGGCAGCAGUAGGGAAUCUUCGGCAAUGGGGGGAACCCUGACCGAGCAACGCCGCGUGAGUGAAAGAAGGUUUUCGGAUCGUAAAGCUCUGUUGUAAGAGAAGAACGUUGAGUUAGAGUGGAAAGUUACUCAAGUGACGGUAUCUUACCAGAAAGGGACGGCUAACUACGUGCCAGCAGCAGC